rnacentral:lncRNA from 1 species
GUUUGAUAGGAAAAUCGUGAGAACACUGAUCCUUUAGAAUACCUGUUAUGCGAUGCAAUGCAAUGUAUGAAAUGUUUUCAAGGACUUUCGGGAUUUAACUUUGCAUAAACUAACAAAAAGAGCUUUUUUUUUUUUUUUCUUUUUUGUUUUUGCUUUUGUUUUUGUUUUUUCUGUUUUUUUUUUAGCAGAGUUAAAUCCCUAAAUCCUUGAAAUGGUUAGUACAAUGCCAUGAUGUUAUGAUGUUAUGUUGUUAUGAUGUCAUGUUGUUAGAUAAAUAACAAGCACAAGCAAGUCACACAACAAUCAUUCCUAGGUUUUAAGGCUUGCGUGAGUUCCAUAGGUAAAUACCCUCCCCACUGAAGUUUGG